rnacentral:rRNA from 1 species
GACGAACGCUGGCGGCGUGCUUAACACAUGCAAGUCGAACGGAAAGGCCCUGCUUUUGUGGGGUGCUCGAGUGGCGAACGGGUGAGUAACACGUGAGUAACCUGCCCUUGACUUUGGGAUAACUUCAGGAAACUGGGGCUAAUACCGGAUAGGAGCUCCUGCUGCAUGGUGGGGGUUGGAAAGUUUCGGCGGUUGGGGAUGGACUCGCGGCUUAUCAGCUUGUUGGUGGGGUAGUGGCUUACCAAGGCUUUGACGGGUAGCCGGCCUGAGAGGGUGACCGGCCACAUUGGGACUGAGAGACGGCCCAGACUCCUACGGGAGGCAGCAGUGGGGAAUAUUGCACAAUGGGCGGAAGCCUGAUGCAGCAACGCCGCGUGCGGGAUGACGGCCUUCGGGUUGUAAACCGCUUUCGCCUGUGACGAAGCGUGAGUGACGGUAAUGGGUAAAGAAGCACCAGCUAACUACGUG